CUUCCCCAUGUAUCGGUAAGGGUAUUUUCCUACAACUGAGUAUCAAAUUGAGGCCGAAUGUGAAGGAAAAGUUAAAAAUGUGCCGGGCGCGGUGGCUCACGCCUGUA